UACAGAGGUCUCAAGCGUUGUUCGGAUUCAUUGGGCGUAAAGGGUGCGUAGGCGGCGCGGUAAGUCGGGUGUGAAAUCUUGGAGCUUAACUCCGAAACUGCAUUCGAUACUGCCGUGCUUGAGGACUGGAGAGGAGACUGGAAUUUACGGUGUAGCUGGUGAAAUGCGUAGAUAUCGUAAGGAAGACCAGUGGCGAAGGCGGGUCUCUGGACAGUUCCUGACACUGAGACACGAAGGCCAGGGGAGCAAACGGG
rnacentral:rRNA from 1 species